CUACGGGCCGCUCCAGUGGGGAAUAUUGCACAAUGGGCGCAAGCCUGAUGCAGCCAUGCCGCGUGUAUGAAGAAGGCCUUCGGGUUGUAAAGUACUUUCAGCGGGGAGGAAGGGAGUAAAGUUAAUACCUUUGCUCAUUGACGUUACCCGCAGAAGAAGCACCGGCUAAGUCCGUGCCAGCAGCCGCGGUAAUACGGAGGGUGCAAGCGUUAAUCGGAAUUACUGGGCGUAAAGCGCACGCAGGCGGUUUGUUAAGUCAGAUGUGAAAUCCCCGGGCUCAACCUGGGAACUGCAUCUGAUACUGGCAAGCUUGAGUCUCGUAGAGGGGGGUAGAAUUCCAGGUGUAGCGGUGAAAUGCGUAGAGAUCUGGAGGAAUACCGGUGGCGAAGGCGGCCCCCUGGACGAAGACUGACGCUCAGGUGCGAAAGCGUGGGGAGCAAACAGGAUUAGAUACCCGAGUAGUC
rnacentral:rRNA from 1 species